rnacentral:rRNA from 1 species
UUUAAAGAGAGUUUGAUCCUGGCUCAGGACGAACGCUGGCGGCGUGCCUAAUACAUGCAAGUCGAACGAACGGAGGAAGAGCUUGCUCUUCCAAAGUUAGUGGCGGACGGGUGAGUAACACGUGGGCAACCUGCCUGUAAGUUGGGGAUAACUCCGGGAAACCGGGGCUAAUACCGAAUGAUAGAGUGUGGCGCAUGCCACGCUUUUGAAAGAUGGUUUCGGCUAUCGCUUACAGAUGGGCCCGCGGUGCAUUAGCUAGUUGGUAGGGUAAUGGCCUACCAAGGCAACGAUGCAUAGCCGACCUGAGAGGGUGAUCGGCCACACUGGGACUGAGACACGGCCCAGACUCCUACGGGAGGCAGCAGUAGGGAAUCUUCCGCAAUGGACGAAAGUCUGACGGAGCAACGCCGCGUGUAUGAAGAAGGUUUUCGGAUCGUAAAGUACUGUUGUUAGAGAAGAACAAGGA